rnacentral:rRNA from 1 species
GACAGAGGGUGCAAACGUUGUUCGGAAUUACUGGGCGUAAAGCGCGUGUAGGCGGCCCUGCAAGUCGGAUGUGAAAUCCCACGGCUCAACCGUGGAAGUGCAUUCGAAACUGCAGGGCUAGAGUCCUGGAGAGGAAGGUGGAAUGCUUGGUGUAGAGGUGAAAUUCGUAGAUAUCAAGCGGAACACCGGUGGCGAAGGCGGCCUUCUGGACAGUGACUGACGCUGAGACGGCGAAAAGCGUGGGGAGCAAACA